UACAGAGGUCUCAAGCGUUGUUCGGACUCAUUGGGCGUAAAGGGCGUGUAGGUGGCGCGCUAAGUCGGGUGUGAAAUUUCGGAGCUUAACUCCGAAACUGCAUUCGAUACUGGCGUGCUUGAGGACUGGAGAGGAGACUGGAAUUCAUGGUGUAGCAGUGAAAUGCGUAGAGAUCAUGAGGAAGACCAGUGGCGAAGGCGGGUCUCUGGACAGUUCCUGACACUGAGACACGAAGGCCAGGGGAGCAAACGGG
rnacentral:rRNA from 1 species